AUCGAAGAUAAAUUCUUCUUACUUCCGGAGUUCCCAAUGCAAGAUCCAACAUUUGCGGUAAAGAAACCUGCAGACUGUCCACUUCCUUAGCGGCAGGAGGUGACGUAAGCGAUUUCGCGACUUUUGCCGACAUUCUCCUUCACUUCAACAAUUUUCCAAAGUGUUUAUUUAAAAAAAAAAAACAUAAUAAUAAGAACUUCUGAUUUUACGGUAACCUUUCUCGCAAUUCUGUAUCUUGAAUGUCAGGCGGACAUAUCAUUUUGGCAAGUCAUCGAUAUUCUUUUAUUCGACCGUAGUAUCCUUUGUUAAAUCACAGAUAUUCGAGACUUUAUACUUUCAACCCUUAGCUUCCG
rnacentral:misc_RNA from 1 species